CCCAUUGUGCUUUUGAAUCAAUGUGUUGUAGUCAGGGAUAAUCACAAUUAUGCUUGGAAAUUUUCAAAGAAAAAGUUUGUUAAUUGACUUAAAGCAAGGUUAAUCAACCAGACGGGAGUGACCUCUUUGGGGCCUUCUCUCUAUUCCAGAGAGAAGUGGUGUGUUGGUUGAAUCCACUGAUGUGAAACUCACAUAUACCAAGGGCCAACUGCAGAAAGCAUAGAGCCUCGUGGAGGGAGAUGGAGAUUAACCAAAGUAUCACAUAAAUGACUGUAUGGUUACAACUGAGAAUAUUAUGAAGGCGAGGAACCUAUCAUACAAGACCAUAGAACAGAGGAGCUUUACUCGGCCCAGGAGCCAGCCAGGCUUCACUGCGGAAGAUGGUGUAUGACAGUAGAUAGUGUCAGAGGUGAGCAUACAAGAGCAGAAGAAUGCAAUGUGGCUUUGGGGCUCUCCCAUCAAGAAGUGGGGUCCAUUUCCUGAUCCCUGGAGUCUGGACUCAGGAGCAGCCUGUGACUUGCACUGACAUCAAUGGAUAAUGAAAUGGAUGGAGACAGAGUUGUGCAAAUUCCAGAAGCUACGCCUUGAGGGCUCUUGCAGAUUUUGCUUUUGACCUCUUGAAACUGCCCUGAGACCACUAGGAAGGAAUACCUAUCUGGUUUUCUGGAGGAAGAGAGUCACAUGGAGAAGAACUGAGGCAGCCACCAACUGCCAGACAUGUGACCACCAGCUCUGCUGACCCCACAGCUCAAAGAAGCUGCACAGAUGAGCUGAGGCCACACUCUUCAGGGAACAAUCCGCACAGUCCUGAGAGACAGCAACUCCUUGCUCUUCUGAGCCACUAGGCUUUGGAACAGUUCAUUGCCUCUUUUACAUGACAUACUCUAAUUGCAUCAUCUUGUUCAAUGCUCACAACAACCCUGCAAGGUUCUUAUUAAUUUUCCAUUUUACAGAUAAGAAAACUGAGCCUCACAGAGUAGAUGCAAAACCGUUAAGUGGCAGGACUGGAAUUUGCACUCACAUCUAUGUGGCCCUAAAGGCCACCCUCUCCCCAUUUCACUGGCCCAUCAAAAACCACAGAGACCAGAUAACAAGAGCUUGUCAUAGUGCUGACAGCAGAGCUGAGGUCCCAAACUGCAGCAUGCUCUGCAUUCUUCUGGUCACAGGGCAAAGGCCAUCAAAAGGGAUCAAGAGAAGACACAGGAGCUUCCAGGAUGUCAGAGAAAAAGGAUGGGCUUGAACUUCUAUUGACUUCAUUGAGUCAACACAGGAGUCAAAAACUGUUGUGACUGGGGACUCACACCCUGUCUAUUCUUGUUGAUCUUUGGACAAACCAUUGCAGCAGACAGAAACAUUCAAAUAAAGCUUAG
ensembl:lncRNA novel transcript